rnacentral:rRNA from 1 species
UACAGAGGGGGCAAGCGUUGUUCGGAAUUACUGGGCGUAAAGGGCGCGUAGGCGGCCUUCUAAGUCGAACGUGAAAUCCCUGGGCUCAACCCAGGAACUGCGUCCGAUACUGGAAGGCUUGAAUCCGGGAGAGGGAUGCGGAAUUCCAGGUGUAGCGGUGAAAUGCGUAGAUAUCUGGAGGAACACCGGUGGCGAAGGCGGCAUCCUGGACCGAGAUUGACGCUGAUGAGCGAAAGCUAGGGGAGCAAACGGG